rnacentral:lncRNA from 1 species
GAUAUGUCAUGGUCACAUAGUAACUCAAAAAGGUCUUUUCUCAUUGGUUGUAAUGGGGCUAAGGACCAUUCAUUAUGUUGGCAAGAUCCUAGGGGUCCUAAGCUCAAGCAUUGAAACUCAAAGUGUGCAUGUUCAAUCCAAACCAUCAUCCCUACAAUCAAGAGUAUAGAGAGAAGGAAACACUACAAAGCUAAGGGGAAAACUCAUCAAAAACUCCAACAUGUUUCAAAAAUUUGGUGCUGCACUUCUUUCUCUCUUUCUUUUCUUUUUCUCUUUUUUUCUUCUUCUUUUUCUCUUUUUUUCUUCUUUUUUUUUCUUUUUUUUUCUUUUACAGCAUACAGCAACACCCAUUUUUAUUUUCACUUCCAACACAUGAUCAUCAGAUAUAACAUUCCCCAUAAUUCUAUCUCCCAAUCCUGCAUCUAAUCAAGACUGAUCUGAUCGUGCCACUGUUUGGCCAAACGGAUCACAGAUCCUUAUCAUUUUACACAAGACAUCAGUUUGGGCAAACGACACAUAAAUACACAGUGUAAUUCUC